rnacentral:rRNA from 1 species
AUGAACGCUAGCUACAGGCUUAACACAUGCAAGUCGAGGGGCAGCAUGGUCUUAGCUUGCUAAGGCCGAUGGCGACCGGCGCACGGGUGAGUAACACGUAUCCAACCUGCCGUCUACUCUUGGACAGCCUUCUGAAAGGAAGAUUAAUACAAGAUGGCAUCAUGAGUCCGCAUGUUCACAUGAUUAAAGGUAUUCCGGUAGACGAUGGGGAUGCGUUCCAUUAGAUAGUAGGCGGGGUAACGGCCCACCUAGUCUUCGAUGGAUAGGGGUUCUGAGAGGAAGGUCCCCCACAUUGGAACUGAGACACGGUCCAAACUCCUACGGGAGGCAGCAGUGAGGAAUAUUGGUCAAUGGGCGAGAGCCUGAACCAGCCAAGUAGCGUGAAGGAUGACUGCCCUAUGGGUUGUAAACUUCUUUUAUAAAGGAAUAAAGUCGGGUAUGGAUACCCGUUUGCAUGUACUUUAUGAAUAAGGAUCGGCUAACUCCGUGCCAGCAGCCGCGGUAAUACGGAGGAUCCGAGCGUUAUCCGGAUUUAUUGGGUUUAAAGGGAGCGUAGAUGGAUGUUUAAGUCAGUUGUGAAAGUUUGCGGCUCAACCGUAAAAUUGCAGUUGAUACUGGAUAUCUUGAGUGCAGUUGAGGCAGGCGGAAUUCGUGGUGUAGCGGUGAAAUGCUUAGAUAUCACGAAGAACUCCGAUUGCGAAGGCAGCCUGCUAAGCUGCAACUGACAUUGAGGCUCGAAAGUGUGGGUAUCAAACAGGAUUAGAUACCCUGGUAGUCCACACGGUAAACGAUGAAUACUCGCUGUUUGCGAUAUACAGCAAGCGGCCAAGCGAAAGCGUUAAGUAUUCCACCUGGGGAGUACGCCGGCAACGGUGAAACUCAAAGGAAUUGACGGGGGCCCGCACAAGCGGAGGAACAUGUGGUUUAAUUCGAUGAUACGCGAGGAACCUUACCCGGGCUUAAAUUGCAGAUGAAUUACGGUGAAAGCCGUAAGCCGCAAGGCAUCUGUGAAGGUGCUGCAUGGUUGUCGUCAGCUCGUGCCGUGAGGUGUCGGCUUAAGUGCCAUAACGAGCGCAACCCUUGUUGUCAGUUACUAACAGGUUCCGCUGAGGACUCUGACAAGACUGCCAUCGUAAGAUGUGAGGAAGGUGGGGAUGACGUCAAAUCAGCACGGCCCUUACGUCCGGGGCUACACACGUGUUACAAUGGGGGGUACAGAGGGCCGCUACCACGCGAGUGGAUGCCAAUCCCCAAAACCUCUCUCAGUUCGGACUGGAGUCUGCAACCCAACUCCACGAAGCUGGAUUCGCUAGUAAUCGCGCAUCAGCCACGGCGCGGUGAAUACGUUCCCGGGCCUUGUACACACCGCCCGUCAAGCCAUGGGAGCCGGGGGUACCUGAAGUGCGUAACCGCGAGGAGCGCCCUAGGGUAAAACUGGUGACUGGGGCU